GAGCUGCUCUGGUAAGGAGGCUGUUAGUUUUGCAGCAGUCAUUGGGAGACAUGGGAUUAAUCACGUGAAGGAGAAAUUGGAGCAUUCCUGUUAAUGACAGCAGAGUUAACAAUUCCCUUACAGCUGUGCUGUCACAGGCUGUGGGGUUUCUCAGCUCUGCGUUACUCGUGCUCCCCUGGCCUCAGCCCAUGGAGUUACCCCAGGGUUUGGGGCUGGUUUGGACUUGGUGUGUCUGAUGAAGCAGUUUGCUUUGCAGGGGUAGGGGCAUCAGAAACACAUCCACAAAAGCCUGUGUGGAUGUACAUAGGGUCUGUGCAAAAGGGAGAGGGGUCAGAACAAAUGGAGGGCUGAGGACAUCCUCCCAGGGAUGCUGGGUGACCACUGAUCCCAUAGAGAAGGUGAAGGUGCUGCUGGUACAGACAGGCACCCACAGUGGCUGAGUUGUGCCAUGCAGCAGCCCAGGACAAAGCCAGAAGCCUGACUGCAAAACACUGCACGGAGUUUACAACGUGUAUUACUGUAGCCAGCUCUUGUCCUGGUCAACAGGAUGCUUCUGCCCACACUAGAUCCAAGACGUAGUUCAGUCCCUGUGGCUUUAAAUUUCAUGUUCCGUGCUCAGCCUGACAGUAAAGGGUAAUUAAUUAGCACAGGGCUGGUUACAUUUUAAUUAAGCAUUUGCUUCAGCUGUGCUUGGGGGAUUGCUUGUUGUACCAGGGGGACUGUGAGUUGGGCUGAGACCACCAGCUCUGGGAUGCAUAAACAGCUCACAGGCGUGAGCUGGUAAUGGGAACCACUUAGCUGAGAUGCUGAAUGGCCAUAGCAUUGAGUGGUACUCAAGAGAUAAACAUUUCAUUAUGUUUAGAGAGAUGCAGUAAAGGACAUGAGCAAGAUCAAGACACAAUCAGGUAUCUUCUCCCUGCUGCUGACUUUGGCUUAAGAGAGGAAACCAGUGAGAGGCCCCUCUCUAGAAGCAUGUGAGACCUGAGUACCAAUAAAACCUGCUAAAAACCCCAAGAGAAUGUUUAAGGUUGCGUUCUGGAUCUUAGCAUCCAUCUUCUGAUGCUUUACUGAGAAGGUAAAAGAUGUGCAGGAAGCAUAUGGCUGAUGUACUGCUCUGCAAGAUGCUGUGACUAGAAGUGCUGAAACACGAGACGCUGACUCAAAGGUGAAUUUAUAUCUACCCCAUUAUAUUUGCUUGGGUUGGUUCCAAAUGAUGGUGGAAUGAAUUUGAAAAGCUGCUUCUUCUAUCUGCAGGAAAGCACAAAAGCAUCCAAACCCCAUCUUCAACUUCUUGCCUUCCUUUGGCGUUGCCAAAUACUCAUUUUCUCCACUUAGAAAUAGGAAAUUUCCUGGUGCUUUAAUUUGUGCAGCACAGAACUCUUGCUAUGCAGGGAAAUACUCAGCUUCCUCUCUGAACUUGCCCAUGGCUUUCAUGAGAAGAGGAGCAGUCUGAUUGCCCCUGUGCUCCCAUCCUGCUGGACACCCCACUGGAUAGCUAUGGGAAGCUUCCAAAUAUAAACCUAACGCUCCCUAGCUGUUUGCCAGCAGUGGGCAGGUCUAGACUCCCUGAAUAAUUCAGAGAGGUUCUAAGUUACUCUCGUUGCAAAUGGCCUUGAAAAGGAAAACAAGUGGUUGGUUUGGUGGGGCCCCAAAAUGUCCCAGCUGCGUCCCUGAACGUGUCUCCCUUCCCUUCCUCUCUGAUAGCAGGGGAACACAAGGCUUCCUUUGCACGUUUCUGCUCAAUUUUGUGUUCUGUUAGCAAGGAGAGGUUUAUUUCAGUCUACCAGAGGAGAUCACUGAUGCCCAGAGGAAGGGCACUCUCCUUUGAGGCUGUACUGGAUUUAUUGCAUUAACCCUGUUUUCCUCUGGAAAACUUGCUUGAAGAAAGCCAGCAGCAGGUCAGGUCCCUCGUCACAGCUGUACUUGGGGUUUGCAUUGCUCUGUCAAGCCUUUAGCCCUCCCAUUUUCUGUUUGUGCGUUUAAUUGCUCAUGUGCUACACAUGCAGUUUUGGACGUACAAAUUGAGUUUAAAAUGUCCAAGCCGGGUGUAAUGAUGAGAUUAUUACUGAUACCAUCAGUGCGGUCUUACUCAGUGUUGUACAUUUAUUGUCUGCAAGCAGGAAGCCCUUUUCCUACAGGAGCCUGAGGAUUCAUUUGGGGUUUUUAGACCCUGCGCGUGUGAGCUUGAUACAAACGCUGUGCUGGUGCCAAACUGCUGCUUGUACUUGCAGAAUGCGAUUGAAGGAGACCCACUGAGGUUUUAGGGGUUGGCACCGUCUGAAGUGAAAUUGUAGGUCAAUCAUAUACUGCACCUAUUUCACGGCAGCAGCUUCAAAAUGAAGUAGAUAGAUAGCAGUAAAAGCUUUCAGUUAAUAAAUCCCCAUCAAUCAAACAAGUUGGCCUUGGUUUAGUUCUCGUCAUGGUAAUGAGUUAUAAAAAUUACUAAUGACCAAUCCUCUUGAUUUUCGAACAGCUGAGAGAGCAAACACGGCUCCUGCAUGAACGCCUCCCCUCCAAAACACCUGCAGCUUCCUGUGUUCUGCAUGUUUGAAA